rnacentral:rRNA from 1 species
UACAGAGGGUGCAAGCGUUGUUCGGAAUUAUUGGGCGUAAAGGGUGCGUAGGCGGUGCGGUAAGUCUGUAGUGAAAUCUCUGGGCUCAACUCAGAGUCUGCUAUAGAAACUGCCGUGCUUGAGUGUGGGAGAGGUGAGUGGAAUUCCCGGUGUAGCGGUGAAAUGCGCAGAUAUCGGGAGGAACACCGGUGGCGAAGGCGGUUCUCUGGGCCUUACCUGACGCUGAGGAGCGAAAGCUAGGGGAGCAAACAGG